CACACAAAACUUUCGAGGCUCCACUUAGCAAAAAUGAGCUGUUACUUUCCAUUAGCAAAAAUUUUUUUUUACUGUCGAGUUAGCACUUUCCCAAAUUGUCGUGACUUUUGCUCAAUUUGAGUAAAAUUAACUAAUUUACUACUAAUUUUAGCAUUUAUAGUAGCAUGGACUCAAACUUUUAGCCUGUGCCCAAACCGCGUUCUUUAAGUGCUCAAAUUUUAGAAAGGCGACACAGGCGGGAACCUGUUAGAUUAUUCUUGUUUUCAUUUUGCACCGCGCGCGGGUAAAACAUUUUUGUUCUGCUCCUCAGUUUUUCGUCGUUUGGUUAGAAUUUGGAUUAGGAUCAACAGCAUCUCGUGGGAGGGAAUGCUGCAGAAGUAGCCAUUCUUCCUCAAGCGGAACGGUUACCGGUUCGGUAACUAGUGGAAAAAUAGCGGAAUCCUAACGCUGCACAUACCGGUACGCGAUACCGAGAAAGGAGGAGAAAUGGUGAAGCGCAAAACCGAACCCGGAAGUAGCAGUAGUGGUUCCGCCGGGUUGUGUGUGUUGUUGACCUGUUUGGUGGUCAGUGUUUUUACUAUCAGAUUUCAGUGGUGAAGAUUUAAUAACCGCGAUGAUGGAAUACACUUUUGGAAACCCGCAGAGUGAUGCGAACGAUAAUAAAAAAGAAGAUUAAAAAAAAUCAAAUCUCACUUUUUAAUUUUUUGAAAAUGAAAACCCUUCAUUAAAAAUAAUUUAAUUUUGGAUUUCACUCAAAUUCGAGCAAACGUUAGAAAAAUAAAUU